rnacentral:rRNA from 1 species
GACGAACGCUGGCGGCGUGCUUAACACAUGCAAGUCGAACGGAAAGGCCCUGCUUUUGUGGGGUGCUCGAGUGGCGAACGGGUGAGUAACACGUGAGUAACCUGCCCUUGACUUUGGGAUAACUUCAGGAAACUGGGGCUAAUACCGGAUAGGAGCUCCUGCUGCAUGGUGGUGGUUGGAAAGUUUCGGCGGUUGGGGAUGGACUCGCGGCUUAUCAGCUUGUUGGUGGGGUAGUGGCUUACCAAGGCUUUGACGGGUAGCCGGCCUGAGAGGGUUACCGGCCACAUUGGGACUGCGGUACGGCCCAGAAUCCUACGGGAGGCAGCAGUGGGGAAUAUUGCGCAAUGGGCGGAAGCCUGAUGCAGCAACGCCGCGUGCGGGAUGACGGCCUUCGGGUUGUAAACCGCUUUCGCCUGUGACGAAGCGUGAGUGACGGUAAUGGGUAAAGAAGCACCGGCUAACUACGUG